AGUUGCCAAUGGUCAUCAAUAAAGUGGGCGGUGAUCCCAUAAUAAGAUUUUCCAUUAAUUGCCGUCCAGCCAUCAAUGGUAAAAGAUAUUCUUGAUGUGUUUUGUUGUAGUAUAUGCAUAACUUUUUUUUGAUCCUGUUCAAAACGGGACACAACCAUUCUCUUUAAAGCUUUUCGUCCAGGCAGGUUUAUUCCAGGUUUGAUUUGAUCGAAGAAGUUCCUUGUUGCUUCGUCGUCAAAAAACUAAAAAGGUAGGUAUUUAGUGGCCACCCAAUCAACGAUAAAGUUUUGAUCUUUAGGUUCAUUCACGGAUUUCUGCAAUAAACGUAAACGAGUGUAAAUUACUUGAUAUUUGAAUGUAAAUUUGAAUUAUUUUUAAAAUAAAGCUAUUAUUUUAUUGUAUUUAUUUUGUUAUUUAUUAUUUCCCAGCCAACAUGAAUUCACACUAAAUUACCAGAGCCCGCUAAUAGUUAAAAUAUGAUUGGAGGUCGUUGGGUAGGUACAAUGAACUGCACACUAAAGGGAUUACCGAAUUGGGCGCUGAAUUUUUUGAACUUUUUUUUUUGGUUUUUCCAUAAAUAAACAAAUUAAAUUGACCUAGUCUUUUAGAAAAUUAUGAAAUAUAAAAUAUUUUAAUUAUAACUUUUAUUUGUUCUUUAAGUCAAUAUCAUUUACAUUGUUAAAAAACUAAAUCAUUGAGAAAAGUAGUAAUAGAUAAUGAGAAAUUAUCUAAUUGUUUAGAAUUAUUAUAGCAGCCCAGCGGGUAAACAAAAUUAUUUUUACCAACUUUACGGCAAUUGAACCAACAAGAAUAUUAGCAAGAAUAAGGAGACAAUGGUUGUUAAGUGUUAAAUGUUCUUUACGUGUUUUAUAUUUUAAUUUUUGGUUCCUUUCAGACUUUUGUAAGCUUUGGUUUCAAACAACACAAAAAUAGAAGUAAUUAAAAACUAAAUUAUGGACGAAAACGGCAAGAAUUACUUGUCGCAGACGGAAAAGUUUUAUAAAAGUAAAAUGAAAGUGAUAAAACAUGGUAAAAAACAUAAAAGGGAGUUUGGGUGUGGUACCAAUUAUUAAAGAUAAAAUGAGAUAAGUUUAAGGUGGUUAUGGUGCGUACAAUGCGCAAAGGUACCAUUUCAUCCAAAAA
rnacentral:lncRNA from 1 species